ensembl:lncRNA
AUGAUGUGUAUGAUAUACCAGUCUCUACUUUUAUCCAAUGUAAAAUACUGAAUUUCAUAUGUUGCUACCUAAGACCGAAUCCAGGUGGCAAGAAUGCAGCCUACACAAUAAUUAACUCAUAUUGGUAGCCAUCUAGAUGUCACCGUGAUAUAGUCUACUAGUCAAUUGGGAGAGCAUGGACGGCAACCACACCAGGACACAGUGACCUCCUCAACCCUGUGGGAUUCGUUCGAUCGGCUCUCAGCUGGGCGACAUAUGUCAUCGGUCAUUGUUUUGCAGGCCAGGAGUGUCGGUAUACCCUCUCCCCGCUAACCAUUUUGAUCAACCCAAGAUGAUGAACCCUGAAGAUGGAACAAAGUGCAUGACAAGGUGGCCCAAAGGAAGCCAGCUUUUCUCAACCCCUCCAUUUGCCCCUCCAUUUGCCCCUCCAACCCCUCCAUCUCAACCCCUCCAAGAGCUCAGUUUGAAUAAAGACCUCUAGUGUGGUGAGACGAGCUAGCAAAUCAGAACUGAGGAAGAUUAUUACAGAGCCCUAUGAGAAACAUCUGAUGCUGCGCUGACUUUCCAAACUGUCCAAACUUUCGCAAACUGUCUCGUUGUGUGUUUCAUCGCCUCUGAACCCCCUUACCCUGAAUAGUUGCCCCUGAUCAUAGAUCUAGGAUUGUACCCAAUCCCGAUGUUAACUUCUAGGUCUCUCUGUCUUUCUUCCCCACACCACCCACACAGAGGCACACAAUAUAGUUUUUACAUUAGAUUAGUGUUG